rnacentral:lncRNA from 1 species
AGACGAUGCCUGAGAUCAGAGUCACGCCCUUGGGUGCCUGCCCUGUGCUGUCCUGGAACCUGGUCCUUCCACCGGGCAGGGGGUCGAGGGCACCUUCCAGCACAGACACCAGGACGGGAUUCCAUGUCCUCCCCCAUGGCGUGAGCGCUUCCUCGGAGGGUGCCCCCCGCCCCGGUGUGGACACUGUGCUGUGAACACCCCUGGCCUGUGCACACCCCAUGGCAUUUUGCAGCUGUUUGCAUGGGCCCCACUGCCCUCCCCUGCUCUCUGGGUCCUCCGUGGGGUCCUCCCAGCCUGCCCCUUUCCCAUUUGGCCUCUUGGCUGCCUGUUCUGCCCACUCUCUGGACAUCUGAUCUUUCUGAUCUUUCAUGUGGCUUCAAUUACCCGCAAUCUGUACCUGGGUAUAUUCUCAAGGUCACCUCAGCCAAGGGGCCGGCCAGGACGUGGGCCGAAGCUGCAUCCUGGUCUCCAUUGCGGGCAAGAAUGUCAUGCUGGACUGUGGAAUGCACAUGGGCUUCAAUGACGACCGACGCUUCCCUGACUUCUCCUACAUCACCCAGAACGGCCGCCUAACAGACU